rnacentral:rRNA from 1 species
UACGGGAGGCAGCAGUGGGGAAUAUUGCACAAUGGGCGCAAGCCUGAUGCAGCCAUGCCGCGUGUAUGAAAAAGGCCUUCGGGUUGUAAAGUACUUUCAGUCGUGAGGAAGGUGUUAAGGUUAAUAACCUUAGCAAUUGACGUUAGCGACAGAAGAAGCACCGGCUAGCUCCGUGCCAGCAGCCGCGGUAAUACGGAGGGUGCGAGCGUUAAUCGGAAUUACUGGGCGUAAAGGGCACGCAGGCGGUUAAUUAAGUUGGAUGUGAAAUCCCCGGGCUUAACCUGGGAAUGGCAUUCAAGACUGGUUAGCUAGAGUCUUGUAGAGGGGGUAGAAUUCCAUGUGUAGCGGUGAAAUGCGUAGAGAUGUGGAGGAAUACCGGGUGGCGAAGGCGGCCCCUGGGACAAAGACUGACGCUCAUGUGCGAAAGCGUGGGGAGCAAACAGGGAUUAGAUACC